GUAUAGUGUUUACCUUCCCUCAGUGGUUGCUCAGCUGAUCUGAAUCACCUGCAGCUGGUUGAACAAUCAGGCCAGCUACUUAAGGUUGGAGCAGACAUUCGUUGCCAGAUCUUUGCGUCAGAUGUACUCUGUUUUCCUAGUUUGAAGUGGAAUCGGUCUGUGACCCUCUGUUUCUUCAGAACCAAUAACUGGUGGGUUUGAAGUGCCCAGGACACGAGCCUCUAACUCUGGAGUAGCCACCCGGUCCCUGGCAUGGCUCUGAUGGGUGGUUUCCUUAUUCCCAACUCGCUGAAAAUGCAGAAGAUAACAGAUGAAAAAAUCAUAACUGAAACUUGUACUGGAGAAAGAACUCUUGGAAACAGGAGUACUGAAGGAUCCUCAGACGGUAAAUGAAUGGUUAAAUAUGAGAUUACACAUCUGAUGCAAAAACGGAGCAGAUCUGGAGCCAGGCGGCGGAGCCAACAGUGGUGGCACAGCAGGUCCAGAGGCCAAAUAUGUGUAAAGCGGCGGCGGUACCGGCUCACCAGAGCCUCCAGCAAAAACAGGCAAAGGCUGAGUCCCUCUCCUGAGUCCCCAGCGGAUGAGGGAGAGGACUGGGGCAGCUCGCUCAAGCUCUCAACCAAUGACGAAGGAGGCUGGAUCAGGUCGCCCAAGCUCCCAGGAGAAACGGGCUGUGCUGGAUGAGCGUCCUCCAGGUGUCCACAGUCAGCUGAUGCCACAAGCUUGGCCUCUGGGGAAGGCCCGGGGAGAAACCCAGACACACAGAGAGGGACACAGAGGACAAAGACACAGAGGGACCUAAUAACCAAGGAGCUAAACAGGACAACCUAGGCAAUAAAGAAUAAACUCAAGACUAACAAAAUGACUUUAGACAUAAACCAUAAUACAAAAAUUACAUCAACAUACAUGAAAACUCAAAACCCUGGGUCAAACGAUCCAGCACCACAACACUUGCAGACCUAUUUUUUGCAGGCCGAACUCUCUAAGUAGCUGCAUUUGCAAGCAAAGUCUUAAGAUUUUCAA